GCGGGCGUAGCUCAGUUGGUUAGAGCGCAAGGUUGUGGUUCUUGAGGCCGCGGAUUCGAUCUCCGUCGCUCGCCCCA
rnacentral:tRNA from 2 species